GUCGUUUCCCCGACUGCGCGCGAAAAACAAAGCCAUCGGCGCCGCAACCUGCUCGCCACAGGAGUAAUGACACUCGGCACUCAGCUGUUCGGGACUGCCAGAGCGCCUUCGAUCGCGGAGAUGAGCAGAGGUCAAUUACUUCCCAUUUGGGGAACUUGUGAACAUUAAGAGGUGACCAGAGUGACGGGGCCGAACGAUGCAGAUAAGAGGCUGAUUGCUUACAGAGCGGCUCCCUGGUAAAAGCCCUGCUGAGGAUAAGCAGUCAUCGUAUUUAGAAAGCAACCACGUUCGAAAAGAAAACCUACGGAGAGGGAAAGGGGAGCUGCCGGGAGAGACGAAGUCAGGCACCUCACCUCCUCCCCGGCCGGAUCACUUUUCUCUCCCUCGAGCUUCUGCUUCAAUUCCAUGUUAUCCGGAGCCGACGGCCUACCCUGAUGAGAACACACCAAGGUGAUGCGGUCUUCUCACUCCGGGUGAUGCUGGAUUAGGCGACAGAGAUGCAGGUUUACAGGGGGGAACCGCAGUGGAGACGCUACUUCCCGAGCAAGAGCACGGCCGGAAGCGCGCUCUGGCCGGGGUCACCAGGUCCCGUAGCGCGGCGGCGACCGCGAGAGGUUCCGCUCGCAGCAGAGCGUGGCUCGAAGCCUAGGCUCCCCCACCUCUCUGGAGCGUCCUACUCCCUGCACUUCGUCCCCUUGUCACUCCUAUCCCGCCCCCUCAACAAGUUCCUGUGCUGGGAGGAUGGAGGUCCCCUACCCCUCAUCUCCCAGUGCACGGGCUGCCCGUGCAAUCAGAGCCACUCCGGAACUCAUUCUCAAACCCGGGGUUGAGCCCCGGAAAGUCACCAGCCUCACAGCUGCUACGACACCCGCGACUUCAGCCACCGCGUUAAGUCGCA